rnacentral:tRNA from 1 species
GGCCUUAUAGUCAAUUAUGACGUUAAAUUGCAAGUUUAGAAGUAAAUUUUAUUUUAAGGCUU